AUGCCUCUCAGGGGCCAACACCCCCCACACACCGCCAGCCACCCCCCUACAGCAAGAGAGCUUAGGGAGGCUGAGAGCUUGGACAGCCAGGAGAGGGGGUCCACAUCUCUGUGUGGCUCUCUCAAGACAGAAAGCUCGAUAUGGACCUGUACACACUCUACUCGCAAGACUGGAAAGAGAUCCAGGCUCAGAACAAGGAGGGAGAGGGGUGGAAUGGAGAAGCCAAGACCCAGAGGAAACCAAGCAAAGGAAAAAAGAAGGGAACAGGGUAGAGCCUCAGGAUGAGGAAGUGGAAAGAAGGAAGCCAGAAACAAAGACAAUGUGAGCUGGACAAUGCAGGGGCUGGGGUGGGCUGGGCUGGGAGCGUUCAUCAUGACUUCCAAGAAACAUUGCUAAAGCUGCACAGCGUCAGACUCUGUAGCCUGCCCUCUGCCUACCAGCCCUCUACAUGGAGUUAGGGCCAAGUGCCCGUCCUUGGCCCCUAAGGCUCCAAGCCUGACGGGACAGCAGGCACUUUAGCCUUCACUUGCUCUGGGACUGAGAUGCCCGGGACCAAGCAGUCCCUGAACCUGCAGAGGAUGACAGCCAUUUGCACCUCCUCCACAUCUAUACGCCCUACCCUCUGGCUGACAUGCUCCCAGUCCUGGGUGGGGCACAGCUAUCUCCACCCAUCCAGUGACAGCAAAGGCAGCCAAACAGAUUGAGUGAUCUCUUGACACCUCCCAGCAUCCCACCACUACAGCAAACAGCACCCCCGCCCAAUCAUGAUUCCAUAUCCAGCGAGGAGCACCACUGCAACAGUGCAGUUGGGUCAACAGCCUCACACAGCCUUGCCCUCUGGACCACCCCCCGUGGGGCCUGCCCACAUCCAAGGAGCCACCUCCAUACUGAAGCUCCUUCUGGCCCAACCCAGCCCCAAGGCCCCUCUGUAACACCACACACCCUAUUCUAUAGCCAAAGCCCCCAGCUGCAGCUGCGACAAAGGGGUAGCUAACUGCGCCCAGGGCAUCCAAACAAAUCCCUGACCCCACCUACUGACUUCGUGGUUCUGGUCUGCAGAACACCUGCAAUGCCACUCAGGCUGCAUUUUGGAUCCUGGAGCAUCCCACCGCCACACCCAUACUCUCACCCUGGGGAGGAGGCAUCUACCUUGCAGCUCCAUUUCCCUGUCUCUUAAGCAGCCCUGGGUUCUCUUCAAGACCCCUCACCAGACCCAGCAAUAGGAACCUGUCACCCACAGCUGAGCUCCCUGCGUCUGAGACAAUCCAGACUCUUCCCUCAGGGU
rnacentral:lncRNA from 12 species